ensembl:lncRNA
AUUUCUCCUGUCUUAUCUGGUGUCCUGUGUGAAUUUAAGUAUGCUCUCUCUAAUUCUCUCGAGGACCUGAGCCUCAGGACUACCUGGCAUGAUGACUCCUUGCUGUCCUCAGUCCACCUGGUUGUGUCGCUGCUGCAGUUUUAACUGUUCUGCCUGCGGCUAUGGAAUCCUGACCUGUUCACCGGACGUGCUACCUGUCCCAGACCUGCUGUUUUCCGACUCUCUACCGCACCUGCUGUCUCUAACUCUGAAUGAUCGGCUAUGAAAAGCCAACUGACAUUUACUCCUGAGGUGCUGACUUGUUGCACCCUCUACAACCACUGUGAUUAUUAUUAUUUGACCAUGCUAGUCAUCUAUGAACGUUUGAACAUCUUGGCCAUGUUCUGUUAUAAUCUCCACCCGGCACAGCCAGAAGAGGACUGGCCACCCCUCAGAGCCUGGUUCCUCUCUAGGUUUCUUCCUAGGUUCCGGCCUUUCUAGGGAGUUUUUCCUAGCCACUGUGCUUCUACACCUGCAUUGCUUGCUGUUUGGGGUUUUAGGCUGGGUUUCUGUACAGCACUUUGAGAUAUCAGCUGAUGUAAGAAGGGCUUUAUAAAUACAUUUGAUUUAGAGAAUUGCUUGUUGCGCCUGCUGCAAUGUAUCGUUCCAUUUCUCCAAAUGUCAAAUUUCUAAGAUAAAGAUUCAAAUUUAGGCACAUAUUCCAAAUGGUUAAGGUUUAGGUUAGGGUUUUAAAAAAGUGUCCACUACAGGGUUUAAACCUUCAGCUCAUGAGUCAUAGGAUUGAUCAUUGAAAUGCAUUCCAACUGUGUGAAUUACUUUUAUUUAGUGUUUGUCUUUUUACUGGGAUAGAACAUGCAACCUUCUGAUCCAAAGUCAGGAGAUUACCCCCGUCCAGAAACCCACGCAAAAUCCAAGUUUGAUGCUAAUAGCGCUCACUGUUGCCACCUAGUGGCUGGUUUCGAAGGCAUUUCCCAACGUCCAAUUUCGACAUCAAUCUUGAAAGACCUGACUGAGUCGACCUCGCCAAAAACUUUUAACUACUAUAACAUCUGGAAUAGAGUGUUCUUUCACUUUUUGCUUUGCCUUCUCUCAUCCCACAAUAGUCUGUCGUGUGUGUGUGUGUGUGUGUGUGUGUGUGGAUUUAUAGGGUUUAUUCACGGACAACAUUAGGAAAAAGCAAAUUAACAAAAUCUUUUUUUUUUGCAGAAUGUGACCGUUGCAUGAAUAGACCCCAUAAUUACCGCAAUACUACAUAAAUACGUGUACAGUACGUUCUCUCGGAGCGUUACCACUAUUGCUUUUGGAUCUAAAGGAUUAUUUAGGACUACUGUGCCUGUUCAGAGUUUCCAUGUUCACAGUAAAAAUUACAUUCGGCAGUGCUGAUUUGGAUAAGAUAUUUAGGAGUGUCAUGUGAAUGUACUGUAGCAGAGGAAUGGCUGCCUUGGACUGUAAGAGAAACUUGCCUGUCUUUAACAGCCCUACUUCCUGCCGUUUCUGAGAGUGCUGCAUCACUCCCUGAUAAAUCACAAUUUUAAAUAUAUAUUUUGUAAAUAAAUCCACCAGACUAGUGCACUUAGGCCUUUUAUUACUCCUGUAUGAGCUGACGCGAGCGUUUUACAAAAAAUGUACACGUAUGGGUUAUUCAAUCAUUGCACCAACACUGCUCGCAAGCGUCAACGAGCAUCUGCGUCACCAGGCGCUAAAAUAGAACUUGAUUCUAUUUGUGACGCUUGACGAGCUGCAAUUGCCAUCUCUCCCAUUUCCUCAUUGGUUUUUAGGAGCGUAUACCCACGUGGGUGAUUGAAAGAUGAACUGAGGUUCACACUCCAGUCCAGUUGGUGGUGGUAAUGCACCUUAAAGUUGGUUGCCAACCGCCAUAUAAAGUCCACAGAAGAAGAAGCCUGACGGAGGAGAAAUUACUAGGAUUUACACUUUUAUCUGUGGAUAAAUUCUCUGAGUAGAGGACCUUGUGCAUUUCAGGUUAAGCCCAUCUUCUCCCAGCUCAAUCAGUCAUGCCAUUUCAGGAAUGGCUGUCAGUGGAUGAGAGCAUGAUCUGAUACUAUGGCCGACAUGGAUGUAAG